AGAACGAACGCUGGCGGCAUGCCUAAUACAUGCAAGUCGAACGAACUCUUCGGAGUUAGUGGCGCACGGGUGCGUAACGCGUGGGAAUCUGCCCCUUGGUUCGGAAUAACAGUUGGAAACGACUGCUAAUACCGGAUGAUGACGAAAGUCCAAAGAUUUAUCGCCAAGGGAUGAGCCCGCGUAGGAUUAGCUAGUUGGUGAGGUAAAGGCUCACCAAGGCAACGAUCCUUAGCUGGUCUGAGAGGAUGAUCAGCCACACUGGGACUGAGACACGGCCCAGACUCCUACGGGAGGCAGCAGUAGGGAAUAUUGGACAAUGGGCGAAAGCCUGAUCCAGCAAUGCCGCGUGAGUGAUGAAGGCCUUAGGUUGUAAAGCUCUUUACCCGAGAUGAUAAUGACAGUAUCGGAGAAUAAGCCCCGGACUAACUCCGUGCCAGCGAGCCGC
rnacentral:rRNA from 1 species